CACAGUCGAGUUUUUCACGUCGAACUGUGCAGCACAUCCUCGAAAUAAAUGGACACAUUAAAUGCAAAUUAAAUAAGAAUAAUUUGAAAUCCGUGAAGUUGACCAAAGAACGCAGAUUUCCCACAUCUCGUUCAAAGUUUAGUGUUAUAAGCUGUUUUCAAGAGUUCCGAACUCAUAGUUAAAUGACACUCAAACGCAAGAGGCACAAAAACUAAUCGUUUGACGGUGCCUAAAUCCAAAGUUAUUGCCUUAAAUACGAGCGGAAAAUCGUGUUGCGAAACCAAGUGCAAUGACUGUCCUCAAUAUGCACGCCAAAAUGAUAAUAUUGAUUUUAUUUUUCUACAACGGUUCCUACAACUGGAGUAAAAAGCUUUAAGAGGCUCCUGGCGCACCUACAUAUUUCCCCUUCGGCAGGCGGCGUUUGAUUUCAUGUGUGUGCCGUCCUGCGAACCUCAAUUAUAAUAAGUGUUCCCGUCCCAAACAAUAACAUCCGAUUUGUUUACCUGCGAAGCGCUGGAGCAAAACAAAAAUCGCGUUCAAGUUUGGCUCCCUUAUCUCAUUUUUGUGGAAUUUUUCAAGCUUUUUUGCGUCAUAAACUGAAAUAUUUUCGAGUUCGCUCCAACCGCAGUCGACGUCGGCAGAGCCUCGACUGCGCGGUACGCCGAGAAACGCAGAGAGAGGCCGAGAUCGUUUAUAUAGCGGCGUACUCGCCAGCGAUUUUCAUCAGUCGCAACGCGUCUCUCGUUCUCAGCGGAGCUCAGGCCUUCGGAAAGCAGCGGAAAAGCCCAGUGGAAAAUCGGAAAAGUUCGAAAAUAGCGCAGUGCAAGUGUGCAUCUAGUAACGCUGGCCAGUGUCGACAAAAUCCACUUCGAUGUCGAUUAAUUCGCCAAUAUCGUUGAAAAACUCGGACCUGCAUUGAACAGGCAAAAGCGACCAGCACUAAACUACAACACACAAAUUGUUUAAACAAAAAGAAACGAAAGCGAGUAAACAAGGACAAAGUCACGGCAAAAAGCGCAGACAACAAGUUGUUUGCUUUUAGUUCGCGUUCUCCUUAUUUUAUUUUCCGUUUUCCGUUCCGUUCGAUUUUCCACGCACGCGCGUCGUAGAAAAGCCAAAUUGAAAACACCAACAGUUGAAAGGCAACUGUUGCAUUCUACCAACCGAAUCGCAGCCCAUUUAAGCCACACUUUCCAUCGGUGGUAGCACACAAGCCGUCGAGCAUACAGAGAUUUGCGAGAGGAAAAGCGAACUAAACCCGAGAUCUUACCAGGAAAACGGAUUUCGUCACUAGGGCUUAGGCCAUUGUAUGGAUCAGUCUAAACCAACGACGAAAUUUGGAGACGAGCCGGACCUCCUGUUCAAGCGAGCGCAGGGCCGGAUUAGUCUGAUCAGUGCUGGAGCUGGAGCCGCCCAGGCUGGCCAAGCUGCCCACCAACCAUCACUGCAUUCAAGCCAACAACAGUUCGCCAACAUUCAACUAGACGCCACGCUCAAUGACUGCGAAAGUGGCUAUGUGCCCACCGUGGGCCGCUGGGGCUCCGAAUGGCCGAGUUGACUCGCCGUUGCCGCCAGUCACCGACGGGAUGGGGGAGCGGCCUCUCCGGAUGAGGAUGAGGAGGCCGCUGCC